rnacentral:rRNA from 1 species
CAUAAUGAUUGGGCGUAAAGUGUUUGUAGGCGGUAUUUGCUGAUUAUCGUAAAAUCUUAAGUUUUGAACUUAUUUCUGCGUCUAUUACACAAGUACUUGAGUCUAAUAGGGGAUAACAUAAUUUUAUAGGAAAGAGUAGAAUCUAGAGAUCUAUAAAGGAAUGCCGGCGGCGAAGGCGGUUAUCUGGGUUAGUACUGACGCUGUGGAACGAAAGCAUGGGGAUCAAACAGGAUUAGGUACCCUGGUAGUCCAUGCAGUCAAAUAUGAGUGCUAGUAUUAGGAGAUUUUCUGGUAUACAGCUAACGCGUUAAGCACUCCGC